UUCGGUUAUUUGCUUUGGCUUUUUUGCUUUGCUGGUGGCCGUUUCCCAGUGUGGCUUCGGGGAUGUAUAUCGUAAAGGUGCAUGAGUGGUGUUUGGUUUGAUACGGGUGGUUGGCUCCCUGCUUGAGCAGGCACAGCCACGCGUACAUUCCUUUUCAGUUGUAGGACAAGGCUUGUAUCGUCUUGAUCGUAUACGUGGGUUUUCUGUGUUGCAUACCUGAUCAAUGGCAUCGUUUUGAUAAAAAAAAAAUCUACCUUUUUCGUUAGACGUUGCAUCUGUAACGUCAAAUGAACCAUGCAGCAUUCUCUUUGAUCCAUAUAGUCAAUGAGCAUUCGUUGAUUAUUUGGCCCGUUGAGGGUGGCUGGUAUCUUGGAUAUGGAAGCCAAAGUGGGCAUGGGUUCGUAUGAUCCUUGUUUUGCCCUCGUUGAGUGUUCUCGCUUCUCUUACACGACGGCCUUUCACGUAUGGCACGUCCCAGCGUGUUUGGCUAUGUCGAAGAGGAA
rnacentral:misc_RNA from 1 species